rnacentral:rRNA from 1 species
CCUACGGGAGGCAGCAGUGAGGAAUAUUGGUCAAUGGCCGGAAGGCUGAACCAGCCAAGCCGCGUGAAGGACGAAGGUGCCAAGCAUUGUAAACUUCUUUUGUCAAGGGACAAAAUCAGGCUCGAGAGCCUGACCGAGGGUACUUGAAGACAAAGCAUCGGCUACCUCCGUGCCCGCAGCCGCGGUAAUACGGAGGAUUCGAGCGUUUUCCGGAUUGAUUGGGGUUCAAGGGUGCGUAGGCGGGCUGUUAAGUCAGCGGUAACAGCCCGGGGAUCAACCCCGGCGAGCCGUGGAAACGGGCUGUCGUGAGAUGUCGAGAGGUAUGCGGAAUGCGCAGUGUAGCGGUGAAAUGCUUAGAUAUUGCGAAGAACUCCGAUUGCGAAGGCAGCAUACCGGCGGCGAUCUGACGCUGAGGCACGAAAGCGUGGGUAUCGAACAGGAUUAGAUACCCCGGUAGUC